rnacentral:rRNA from 1 species
GACGAACGCUGGCGGCGUGCUUAACACAUGCAAGUCGAACGGUGAAGCGCCUUCCUUUUUGGUGGGUGUGGAUGAGUGGCGAACGGGUGAGUAACACGUGAGUAACCUGCCCCCUUCGUCUGGAUAACCGCAUGAAAGUGUGGCUAAUACGGGAUAUUCUGGGUCUGUCGCAUGAUGGGUCUGGGAAAGAUAUUGUUUCGGUGGGGGAUGGGCUCGCGGCCUAUCAGCUUGUUGGUGGGGUGAUGGCCUACCAAGGCGGUGACGGGUAGCCGGCCUGAGAGGGUGGACGGUCACACUGGGACUGAGCCACGGCCCCGACUCCUACGGGAGGCAGCAGUGGGGAAUAUUGCACAAUGGGAGCAAGCCUGAUGCAGCGACGCCGCGUGAGGGAUGGAGGCCUUCGGGUUGUGAACCUCUUUCGCCAGUGAAGCAGGCCUGCCUCGUUUGUGGGUGGGUUGACGGUAGCUGGAUAAGAAGCGCCGGCUAACUACGUG